rnacentral:tRNA from 1 species
GACCGCGUAGCUCAGUUGGCAGAGCAUUGGGCUAGUAUUCCAAAGGUCGUAUAGGUUCGAUUCCCACCGUGGUCA